rnacentral:rRNA from 1 species
GACGAACGCUGGCGGCGUGCCUAAUACAUGCGAGUAGAACGCACAGUUUAUACCGUAGCUUGCUACACCAUAGACUGUGAGUUGCGAACGGGUGAGUAACGCGUAGGUAACCUGCCUGGUAGCGGGGGAUAACUAUUGGAAACGAUAGCUAAUACCGCAUAAUAUUGAUUAUUGCAUGAUAAUUGAUUGAAAGAUGCUAUUGCAUCACUACCAGAUGGACCUGCGUUGUAUUAGCUAGUAGGUGAGGUAACGGCUCACCUAGGCGACGAUACAUAGCCGACCUGAGAGGGUGAUCGGCCACACUGGGACUGAGACACGGCCCAGACUCCUACGGGAGGCAGCAGUAGGGAAUCUUCGGCAAUGGACGAAAGUCUGACCGAGCAACGCCGCGUGAGUGAAGAAGGGUUUCGGAUCGUAAGGCUCUGUUGUAAGAGAAGAACGGGUGUGAGAGUGGAAAGUUCACACUGUGACGGUAUCUUACCAGAAAGGGACGGCUAACUACGUG